UUGAGACCUCCUGCGGCUGUGUCUAAAGUGUCUUGCCCACCUCUUCAUCCUGGUUGGGUGGCCUGUAGCACACUCCCACGAUAAGGCAUUGUGUUCAACUUAAAAAAGGAACGCAUGAAGAAUAGCUUUGUUUGCAUUCUGGUAACUGCUGAGGCUUUGGCUGACGACAGCUUUCAGCUGCACCUGAACUAGGCUGGAUUUGUCUCCUGCUCUCCAUAGGUGUAUGGGAACUGUAUAAUCACAGCCUGACCCUCUGUUUGACCACCUGAGGCGAGUGCUGAGUCAGCUGCAGGGGCACAGGUGAUGGCAGUUUCACCUGAGUGACCGGAAGGGGUGGACCCUGGCUGCAGCCCUGCUAGACCCCAUGUAAGGGCUGACUCCCAAGGAGGAAGGAUCUCUAUCUGGAGGUCACCCUUAGUGGAGCCCUUCUGCG
rnacentral:lncRNA from 1 species